GUCUGUGGGCCAAGCACACUCACGUGGGUUCCUAUGUCACACAUAUGCAGGUCACAGCUGUGAGCCUAUCUCUGGGUUCUGUGUCUUCAAUCUCAUAUGAGCACUGUUGGAUUGUAUGUGGCUCGGUGGUGCUGUGUUGUGUUUUAGGCGUUGAUUUUGAUCUGUCAUGUAAAGGUCAUGUAGUCUUGUGGAUUCCGAUAGCUAAUGGCCUCUUACCAUGAAAAAUAGCAAGGAUGGACUGACAGGUCUCUUUAGUCAUCAGGAGAGAGUUGUUGAACAAGACAGGAAAAAAAAAAAAAGACUAAGGACAAAUGUGAAAGCAAAUGCCCAAAACCACGAUUUGUGCACUGAUGGGGUGUGGCUCAGUGUUAAGAGUUUGAUGUGCAGGCAGCAGGACCUGAGUUCAGACUACCAGGACCCAGGUAACACAGUUAGCUUUGUCUGUAAUCUAGCACUUGUGACAAGCAGGGAAGCAGAACCUGGCAUGCACAGUCACAAGCAAGACAACCCAUCUCAAGGUGAAAGGUGUUAGCUAGCACCCAAGGUUGUCAUCUGGCUUCUCUAUGCACGAACCAUGGCAUGUGGAGGUCUGUAUGACCUGCAUAUAUGAAAAUACACACACAUACACACACACACACAUGCACACAUACACACGCACACGCACACACACAGGGACACACACACAUACAGGCACACAAACACAAACACACACAGGUACACUCAAACACACAGACACACACACACAAACAUACACAGAGAACACAGACACAGACACAAACACACACACAGGCACACAGACACACAAAUACACACACACACAGGCACACAGGCACACAAACACACACACACAGGCACACAGACACACAAACACACACAUACACACACAGGCACACAGACACACACACACACAAACACACACCGGCACACAGACACACAUUCACAAACACACACACAGGCACACAGACACACACACAAACACACACACACAGGCACACAGACACACAAACACACACACACAGGCACACAGACACACAAACACACACACACAGGCACACAGACACACAAACACACACACA
ensembl:lncRNA